UUUGGAGAGUUUUCUCAUUGUUCGUCUGCGGGAGGGAAAAAAAAAAAAAAAAAAAAAAAAAAAAAAAUGGCCAGAAAGGGGUUCGUUUUGAUUGUGUUUAAUACGGCAUGAAGCUCGGAGCGGUAAGCUGUGCCUCGGUGUCAUGACCUCUAUAUUGAAAACUUCACCUUCAACACAAGUUCACUUCGGAGACAGGACGAGUUAGAUUGCGCUUGGUGGGAACAAGUGCAAAUUUAAAAACAGAGUCAAUCAUAACGGGGGUGGGGGCUGGGAAAGGGCAAUUUAACCGUUUCUGGAGCCAGGAGUUAAGGUUUGCAUUGUGUACGCCGAGGCGCUGAUACUAACGCUGAAACCCAGCCCCGCAUCGCUCAGCAAGCAGAGCUGGGAAACAGGCUCCUGGAUCUCCGGAGAUGCUUUGUGAAAGCCUAGCCUGCGUGGGGGAAGGUUAGGAGGAAAAGAGGAAUUUACAGAGUAUUAGCAGAAAUUAGCCAAUGCCGACACAAGCUCAAUUAGUUUUUUUUUUUUUUUUUUUUUUUUUUUUUGGGUCUCUGUUGGCUGUUCUCGAACGUGAGUAAAUGCCGUGCAGGGAGAGGGAGAGCCCCAGCACACUGCCAUCUCAGAGCCGCAGCCAGGAGAUGGACUGACAGAUUGCAAAUUAAAAGAGUCCCAAUGUCAGAACGACCGCAGCCCCCGGCGCGCAGAGCCCGGUAGCGCUAAGCCCGGCACGGAGCGAGCGGGGCUGCGGCGGGGCCGGUCCUGCGCCGGAGCUGGGCUAGGCAGGGACAAUAAAGCCAGGCACGGGCAGAGAAAAUCGCAAGGUGGAGCUGAAUACAAUGCCUGCAUUUGUGGCUAACUACAAGCAAUACGUUAUGAAGAUGAUGGUAUUCAGACACACACCCAAACAAUUUGAUUCAGACAAAUUGGAUACAAGACUUUGACCAGCAUAAGAAGAACAGUGGGCAAAUUGCUUACAUUUUGUACCUCAUGUGGAAGCUGACACCGUUACAGCUGCAGACUGGUGUUUGUAAGAGCUGCCAGCAUGCCAGCAUCGGCAUUGUACAGACAGGCAGCAAUGCAGACCUGCUGGAGGAGCUCAGCAGGAGGAGAGCCCGCGCUGCACCAGCAAUGUGGUCUGAACAGAGGUCUGUGUUGGUCCAGCUCAUUGGAAACUUUCAUGCUUAAAUCAGGAGGACGCUAUAGUUGGAGCUAAUCUGAGAGAUAAGAAUUUGCCAAGGGCAUCAACAGCAGUUUUCCCAGGCUUCAGAACAAGG
rnacentral:lncRNA from 1 species